AGAGUUUGAUCAUGGCUCAGGAUGAACGCUGGCGGCGUGCCUAACACAUGCAAGUUGAGCGAUUUACUUCGGUAAAGAGCGGCGGACGGGUGAGUAACGCGUGGGUAACCUGCCCUGUACACACGGAUAACAUACUGAAAGGUAUGCUAAUACGAGAUAAUAUGCUUUUAUCGCAUGGUAGAAGUAUCAAAGCUUUUGCGGUACAGGAUGGACCCGCGUCUGAUUAGCUAGUUGGUAAGGUAACGGCUUACCAAGGCGACGAUCAGUAGCCGACCUGAGAGGGUGAUCGGCCACACUGGAACUGAGACACGGUCCAAACUCCUACGGGAGGCAGCAGUGGGGAAUAUUGCACAAUGGGCGAAAGCCUGAUGCAGCAACGCCGCGUGAGCGAUGAAGGCCUUCGGUUCGUAAAGCUCUGUCCUCAAGGAAGAUAAUGACGG
rnacentral:rRNA from 1 species